AUAUGCCUUUGAGUGGGGAACAACAGUUGGAAACGACUGCUAAUACCGCAUAACGUCUACGGACCAAAGGGGGGGAUCUUCGGACCUCCCGCUCAUUGAUUAGCCCAAGUGAGAUUAGCUAGUUGGUAAGGUAAUGGCUUACCAAGGCGACGAUCUCUAGCUGGUUUGAGAGGAUGAUCAGCCACACUGGGACUGAGACACGGCCCAGACUCCUACGGGAGGCAGCAGUGGGGAAUAUUGCACAAUGGGCGAAAGCCUGAUGCAGCCAUGCCGCGUGUGUGAAGAAGGCCUUCGGGUUGUAAAGCACUUUCAGUUGUGAGGAAAGGUUUGUAGUUAAUAGCUGCAAGCUGUGACGUUAACAACAGAAGAAGCACCGGCUAACUUCGUGCCAGCAGCCGCGGUAAUACGAGGGGUGCAAGCGUUAAUCGGAAUUACUGGGCGUAAAGCGUUCGUAGGCGGUUUGUUAAGCAAGAUGUGAAAGCCCCGGGCUCAACCUGGGAACUGCAUUUUGAACUGGCAAGCUAGAAUACUGUAGAGGGUGGUGGAAUUUCCAGUGUAGCGGUGAAAUGCGUAGAGAUUGGAAGGAACAUCAGUGGCGAAGGCGACCACCUGGACAGAUAUUGACGCUGAGAACGAAAGCGUGGGGAGCGAACAG
rnacentral:rRNA from 1 species